AUGUUGUUGCUUGACAUUAGGGGUAUCUUACAGUCCAUGGGUAAAGACAUAGCUGAUUUCGCUCUUCCAAGCAUUGACAAUGCGUUCGACCCAACAGGGGGCGAGGCCAGACAGGUGAUCGAGGAAUCAACCGUCGAGUUUGACGUGAACGACACUAAAUUGGCAUCGUCGCUAAACUUGGAGUAGAGGCUUGCAUACGACGAGAUACUAGAUGCAGUUGAACAAGGUGAUGGGGGUGUGUCCUUUGUUGAUGGCCCGGGAGGUACAGGGAAGACCUUCCUGUACAGGGCGCUACUCGCCAAGGUUCGAAGUGAGAGCAACAUCGCUAUCGCUACCGCGACGUCGGGCGCCGUCGCUUCUAUCAUGCCUGGAGGCAGGACUGCCCACUCGAGGUUCAAGAUCCAUUGA
rnacentral:rRNA from 1 species